AACGAACGCUGGCGGCAUGCCUAACACAUGCCAGUCGAACGAGACCUUCGGGUCUAGUGGCGCACGGGUGCGUAACGCGUGGGAACCUGCCUUUAGGUUCGGAAUAACUCAGAGAAAUUUGAGCUAAUACCGGAUGAUGUCUUCGGACCAAAGAUUUAUCGCCUUUAGAUGGGCCCGCGUUGGAUUAGCUAGUUGGUGGGGUAAAGGCCUACCAAGGCGACGAUCCAUAGCUGGUCUGAGAGGAUGAUCAGCCACACUGGGACUGAGACACGGCCCAGACUCCUACGGGAGGCAGCAGUGGGGAAUAUUGGGCAAUGGGCGAAAGCCUGAUCCAGCAAUGCCGCGUGAGUGAUGAAGGCCUUAGGGUUGUAAAGCUCUUUUACCCGAGAUGAUAAUGACAGUAUCGGGAGAAUAAGCGCCGGCUAACUCCGUG
rnacentral:rRNA from 1 species